AUGCCUAAUAUACUUAGUUUAACCUGUAUCUGUUUUAAUUCUGUUCUUUAUCCUACUAGUUUUUUCUUUGCCAAAUUACCCGAAGCUUAUGCUAUUUUCAAUUCAAUCGUGGAUAUUAUAAAAAUACAAAAGAAAAGAAGAAAAUAA
rnacentral:rRNA from 1 species